CGUGUACUGGGUGAGAUUUUUUUCAAAGUUCUUUUUUUCCUUUUUUACUGAGUGGAGAGAGGAUCAGGGAAAUAUGAGAGAUGGCCAGUUGUUGUAGUGAGAUAUUGGAGAGAGAGGGAAAAUGUGUUAGUUUUUUAUUUCUUUUCCAUGUCAGCUAGCGUGUUCAGAGAGAAGAGAAGGAGUGGAUGAGUUGGUCACUAUAUUUUGGACUCUUUUUCUACUACAACUGGCCAUUUUUAU
rnacentral:lncRNA from 1 species